AUACUUACCUGGCAGGGGAGCCAUUUCCCAUGAUUAUGUAGAUGGGGCUUCCAGGGUGAGGCACAUCCAUUGCACUCUGGAUGCGCUGACCCUUGUGAUUUCCCCAAAUGCGGGAAACUUGACUGCAUAAUUUGUGGUAGUGGGGGACUGCAUUCGUGCUCUUCCCUG
rnacentral:snRNA from 1 species